rnacentral:rRNA from 1 species
GGGGUAACUCCCAACCCCUGUGACAUACCACUUGUUGCCUCGGCGGAUCAGCCCGCUCCCGGUAAAACGGGACGGCCCGCCAGAGGACCCCUAAACUCUGUUUCUAUAUGUAACUUCUGAGUAAAACCAUAAAUAAAUCAAAACUUUCAACAACGGAUCUCUUGGUUCUGGCAUCGAUGAAGAACGCAGCAAAAUGCGAUAAGUAAUGUGAAUUGCAGAAUUCAGUGAAUCAUCGAAUCUUUGAACGCACAUUGCGCCCGCCAGUAUUCUGGCGGGCAUGCCUGUUCGAGCGUCAUUUCAACCCUCAAGCACAGCUUGGUGUUGGGACUCGCGUUAAUUCGCGUUCCUCAAAUUGAUUGGCGGUCACGUCGAGCUUCCAUAGCGUAGUAGUAAAACCCUCGUUACUGGUAAUCGUCGCGGCCACGCCGUUAAACCCCAACUUCUGAAUGUUGACCUCGGAUCAGGUAGGAAUACCCGCUGAACUUAAGCAUAUCAAAAAGCCGGAGGAAA